rnacentral:lncRNA from 1 species
UAUGGGUGCUGCUGCUCUGGGUUCCAGGUUCCACUGGUGACAUUGUGCUGACACAGUCUCCUGCUUCCUUAGCUGUAUCUCUGGGGCAGAGGGCCACCAUCUCAUGCAGGGCCAGCCAAAGUGUCAGUACAUCUAGCUAUAGUUAUAUGCACUGGUACCAACAGAAACCAGGACAGCCACCCAAACUCCUCAUCAAGUAUGCAUCCAACCUAGAAUCUGGGGUCCCUGCCAGGUUCAGUGGCAGUGGGUCUGGGACAGACUUCACCCUCAACAUCCAUCCUGUGGAGGAGGAGGAUACUGCAACAUAUUACUGUCA